GCAUGGGUUUGGAUUUAUGCCAGGCCCAUCCCCCUGGGUCUCUUAUGGUGCCCCUGACAGAGCAAACUAUGGCCUUAAACCAUUGCCUGGCCUCUGCCUAUAGGACACAGGCACUGAAGUGAGUUGCACAGCA